rnacentral:rRNA from 1 species
UGAGGAAUAUUGGUCAAUGGGUGCAAGCCUGAACCAGCCAUCCCGCGUGAAGGACGACUGCCCUAUGGGUUGUAAACUUCUUUUGUAUAGGGAUAAACCUACCCUCGUGAGGGUAGCUGAAGGUACUAUACGAAUAAGCACCGGCUAACUCCGUGCCAGCAGCCGCGGUAAUACGGAGGGUGCAAGCGUUAUCCGGAUUUAUUGGGUUUAAAAGGUCCGUAGGCGGACUUAUAAGUCAGUGGUGAAAGCCUGUCGCUUAUCGAUAGAGCUGCCAUUGAUACGUUAAGUCUUGAGUAUAUUUGAGGUAGCUGGAAUAAGUAGUGUAGCGGUGAAAUGCAUAGAUAUUACUUAGAACACAAAUUGCGAAGGCAGGUUACCAGGAUAUAACUGACGCUGAGGGACGAAAGCGUGGGGAGCGAACA